rnacentral:lncRNA from 1 species
GGGACGGCAGCGGUCAGGUAACUGUAAUACGCGGCAGAAACGGCAGAGGGACCUAAAGCAACGUCAUAAAAAGCUCCAUGUGUAUUACGAAAAAAACCCGAAAGUGCAAAAAAAAAAAAAAAACAGGUGUCUUCCGUUCUACUUUACCGUCUAGUCUUAUUUCUACAACAUACAGUUGAAAUCACGACAACAGGUCUCCGUACAGUUUACAUCGGGUUUCCUUCCCCAUGUUUCGCAACUAGCAAGACCUGCUGCAGCAGUGCGAUCAGGAUCCGCGAAAACGGCCCGCGAUCUAAGCACGCGCUCGCCACAUUACGUCAUAAACGGAACGCGGCGACGCGCUAUUGUUGUAAUAACACAUGAGAUGGGGUUGUUGUGGUAAAAGAUUGUUUUGCGUCACUUCGGCAAGUCAGUACGCGAGUUUGAUGCGAGAGUCGAGGGGCUGUGUGCUGAGAAGCACUAAAGCAGGACAUUUCAAAUGUCUCACAGAGCAACAGGUAUUUCAUUGUAUCCCGGUCCCAUUGUGGACAAGCGCUGUCUGGCUAGCCCAGCAAACUCAUCAAUAAUGGUGGCCCACUUCCGCAGCCUCCCACUGUCCCUGGCUGACCGCUGGCAGGUUGCCACAGUUGUGAGUCUAUGCCAAGUCCACCAGAACUCUUCUUCACAGCCCUGACUCCAUGAAUGAGGUGGCCGAGCCCUUCGGAGCACUGUGGAUCACAGCAAUACACCUAUAGUGCUAGGGCCUUAAUCACAGAACCCUCCAGUAAAGAGAAAUGUAAGUUUUACUCAAGCAGUUAUUAGCAUUCUUUUAUAAGAAAGUAUUUCUUUUUACCCAGUUGAUAACUAUCCUUUCCUAUUAAGGAUCUGUACAAAAAUUGUCUGUUCAAAAAUUGUUUUUGUAUGUAAAAGUUUCAAGCGGGACUUCUCAAUCCUAGCCCAGUUCAGCUUAGUGUGUGUGCUCUUUGUUUCAAUUAGCCAUUAUUUACACUGUUAAUGGAUAUGUAUUUUUCAAUAAAAGUGUUGCAGGA